CGGCUUUACCCUGGCCAUUCAGGUGGAGGUACCUGAAUGCAACAUGAGGAACUACAGAAGAAGGCAUGAGAUCUUGCUCAACAUAACAAGGAACUGUCUGUGAAGCUGCCAAAAAUGACCAACAGUGUCAUAAGGGAUGGAUGGGUCUCACAGGCAAUUGGAGUGAGGUUAUGUUAGAAAUGGUUGAAUUUCAUAGGCAGCUGAAGAGAAGCAUCAGAGAUCUUCUGGAGAGCAGCCCUGAAAGAACACUGAGAUAGCAAAGGAUGCCAUAGAUUCCUUGGACAGAAACUACAGCCAGGAGGCAGCUGUCCUACUUUAAGUGAGAGAGGAGGAAACAGGAGAGCAUCAAGACGUCUAAGGGAGCAGAAAUCUCUGUGGUCUGUGGAAAAAGACCCAUCUUCUGAUGGGUGAAAAUACAGUGACUAGUUGCUCUUGUAGUAUUUGCAAUGAAUAUCAUGAGAACAAGCUGUUCCUGUGACAUUCUUGGCUUGGCCAUCUGGUGGGAAAAACAGGGGAAUGAGAGGGAAGAAAGGGAAAUGGCAAGAGGACUCUGAGUGUGCAGGCAUGUGCAUGUGUGUAUACACAUCAGGUAGGAGGAGGGAGCGGAAAAAUUAAGGG
rnacentral:lncRNA from 1 species